CCUUUUUCAAUGUGAAGUUCCCAGAAGAAACUCUUGUGUUCUUCUAUCCGAUUGGAGAAAAACUCAAAUUCAUCAACAAAUCCCCGUAAAGGUUCCUCCUUUGAUUCAAAUUGAUCUUCUAUGAUCUUCAUCACUUGUUUUCCUAAUGUCAAUUUGAAUUUACAGCCUUCCGUACCUCUCUCAAAACAUGCCAAAGGCGGCUCCUUUAGAUUUCUUCAUCAAUUACUCAAAAAGGUGCAAACUUUGAUUGGAAUAAUAGAUUUUUGUAUUGAUCUCAAUCAAUUAAAUAAUGAAUCAGUCUAGAUUGCUAGAUCGAUCCUGUUCAUGGGUGAACGAAGUAGCAGGGGAAGCAUCAAUCGAUCUGUCUAGAUUGCUAAUUCCAUAUGGAUAAGAGAUUGGUUCAAGUUUGAUGGCAACUUGUUGAUAUAAAGAGGUAAGGAGACUGCAGAAUCCUGGGUGUAGACUAACCACAGAGAUAGAUAUAAAGAAUCAAAGGAUGGAAUGCAUGGAAAAAAGGUCAACCGACCGACCUAUCGGUGUCUCUUGGUAUAAUGAAAGAUGAGAGAGAUAAUAUGAAUCAAGCUUGUCUUCAGCUCUUGACGUAAGAAAGAGAUCAGCUGAUUCAAGCUCACCUUGAAGUUGAUAGUUGGGAAUCCGUUUCAUCAAGCAGACUAUGAAACAUGAAAACAUGAAUUGGAAUAGCAGUCAAGUUGGACAUAUUGUAAGUUUAAUUUCUGUAUCUAGGUUGUUGUGGUUGAUUUUAUUGUUGGUAUUUAAGUCAUUUUCACAGCGCUUGUGGUUCCUUGUACCAUUCUCGUGUCUGAAAAUGACUAUAGUGAAAAACAUCCUGUAUGCUAUUUAACCAAGGAAUACCAUUUUGCUUUCUUGUCCUCAGCAAAGAUAGGAUAUAAUCAGUUUAUUAAAUUUUUGAAUGUGGCUUUGAUACCUUUGUGUGCAGUAUUAUCUGCCAAUGUUGCUUUUCUUGUUGGUAUUUGAUUGCGGUUUCUUAGGUGACUAUAGUAAAAAAAAAAAACUCUGGUGUGCUAAUAAUUUCAAGUGAGAGUGGCUGUUGUUUUCUUGUCCUAUGAGCUACUCGUAAGGGAUGGAAUGUUUUCGCAUUCCGCCGCUUUCAGAGUGAAGUAUGUAGCCCAUGGUGUAGGUGAGAUCCCUCUGCGGCGGUUCCUUCAAAUACUUCUCCACAGGCUAAAACCCUUCAUUUUGAAAGAGGUGGAGUGUCAAAGCACUCCACCGUAUUAGGAGUUGCUCUUAGAUGGGAGAUGAUCAGUUUACCGAAAACAGAACUUUGUAACAUCUUAUGCAAUAUAAAAAAAUCAUGUUUGGUGCAUGGAGAAUCUGGUAGAUUUAUAAUUCAUGUAUGACUAGUGUCGUAUGUGUGUUUUGGCCCUUUUGGAUUUCUGUGAUCAAUAAAGUGUACCAGUCAUAGUAUCAUCUUAAAUACAAUCAAAAGUACCGUUUCUGUUGUUGUAUUUAUUAUGGUAGUUUUGUCUUGAAUUAAUCUGUAGUAUCUCAAGAUAAGUAGUGCAAAGCUAAUGCCUGCGGCACUUCUGACUGCGUAACUUGUCAUGGGUCACUAGUUAACAAGGCAAUUAAAAUUACUUAAGACAUUUUCUACAUUAGUAUCAGUGCUUGGCGUGUAACUCAACUUAAUGCUCUGGUUUGUUUUUUUGUGUUAAAUAUAUGUUGUUUCAUUACUUCAUUUGGAAUCAAUUUUGUGGUGUUUAAAAAGGCAUUCGGCAGACUUAUUGGAUUGGAUAUCUGUCAUCAAUAAAGCAAACUGGUUCAUACUAUUACCAGCUUUCUGUCGGAAGAUGACUACAGUGAUAUUUUGGAGUUCGUUAGGCUCCUUGGACCUUACACGAUGUGUUAAUCAGUUCUUUUGGAUAUCUGUGAUCGAUAAAGCAAAAUGGUUCACAUUGUUACCAGCAUUGUGUCGGAAGAUGACUACAAUGAUAUUUUGGAGUUCGUUAGGCUUCUUGAACUGUUACGCGGUACAUGGAGUUUUGAGUAUCUUCCUACAUGCAUUUCCAUUUGGAUAUUCCUGGUGGUUGUUUGAGAAAGAACUCUGUGGUGUUUUUAAAGAAUUUGGAAGACUUAUAAUUCGGUUUUUGAACUUUUGAAGUUCGUGAUUGCUUGGUUGUAUAACUGGGAAAUAUCCAGAAGAUUGUGUAUGAGAAUGAGACAUUUAUGAGGGAGUUAGAGACUCUCAGUUGAGAACUCGAGCAGCAACGUUAAAAACCCGAAAAGCGUGAGGCACAAUUGGAUCUCAAAGCAAGCAUCUAUCUGUUUUAAGUGAAAAGGAACUCCUGUCAACCUGAAGUCUAUCGAUUAAACCGUCAAAUACCUUUUAUAUCUUCUCGGUCAACUCUGUGAACCAUGAGAAAGCAAACAUGAUGGGAACGAAAAAAUUGGAAACCUUUUACCAGAUAUAUCUUUGUUUGGAUUGCAAUUCCGAUGCAGGUUGCAAGAGAGUUGAGUACUGCGCAUUUGUGCAAGAGAAAUUUGAAGGAGAAAAUGUUCACGCCUUAACAGAGGUGGAUGAUAUUUGUAAAAGACUGGAAGAAAACGAUUUGAUUAGCCUCAAAUAACACCCUUAUCUCCAAAGAGUGCAGAAGUAACCACCAGCCGCAGGAGGCACACAAAGUUUUGAUCGACGGUUUGGAUGGUUUUUAAAUGUACGUCAGCGUCCUCCUGUAAUUGGGAUGAAGCGGACGGUGGAGCUGAAUGAGAAACCAUUUCGAGAUAUUUGCUUCAAGAAGUUCUCGACCACAGAAUGGGAACAGUUGAGCUAUGCUCGUUGUGGCAAAAUAAAAUACAAGAUUCAGAGUGGUAUCUUUGUAAGCAUGUGACAAUCGAUAAAAAGCGUCGUUGCAGGAAGUUAUUAAUGAUGAUGAUAAAAAGUCGAGGAGCUGAAAGAUGAAUGGGGUGAGGAAGUAUGUGAUGCUGUAGCUGCUGCUUUGCUGGAGCAAUUUGCUAGAAAUGCUUGUGGAUAAACUGAACCCAUCAUUCUCCUGAGGCUCAAGCUGAUACAUCAGAAACACUUUGUGCCAUCACCCGUAAUACGCCAUCAGCUCUAUCUGUUAAACUCUCUAGCCCAAGGCUCAUCAGGAUGCAUUUCGGCAGCUAGUUGAUCUGAUAGGAAUCACAUCCAUCAUUUAGAUAAUACGCUAAAGACUCUGGUGUUCCACAAAUUCAAUUUGGUGUUCAAAGAAUAUUUGGUCAUGCACUGGAAGAUACUGAGAUACUUCAAUUGGUUUUUUUAGGAUCUCAACAUAAUGAUAUCCAGUCACUUGAUCCUGGUCUUGGGAGGGGCUCUUGUUGAUAGAAAGAGAAUUUUGAGUCUUAUAUGUGCCUUCUAUUUAGGAUACAAAGAUUGAUGGAUCUUUGUGUAGAUUUUACCCUGCCUGGGUAUCCAGACUACCUGCUUACAUCCAGACAAGAUCGUAGAAUGUGGAAUGAGCUUUUGCAUCCCAUCCAAUUUGAUCAUGGUUACACAGAUAGCAGUCCCCUGAUCAUUUAUCUUUUAAAAAUCAUGAAGGACUUGCAACGUGAUCAAAAACAAGCUUUCAUUCAGUUUGGAACCGGAUCACCUCAACUCCCACAUGGAGACUUAGCAUUUAAACGAAUUGGUUGAUGGGGACUUGCCUUGUGCCAACUAUCUCCUUAUUCUAACCAGAGGAUACAGUGAAGGAGAAGUUGCUUUAUGCUGUAACUGAAGGCUAGGGAUCCAUCUUGCAUGAGAGAACCAGCAAGAUUUUUUUUGUAAUGUCCGAGUGCAACUUCAUAGAGAUUUAAUUUAAUUUAAUUUGUAAUUUUCGUAUUGAUUUUUAAUUUUGAUAAUGAUUUUAAUUUAUUUUAAAUAUAAAAAAAAUAAGAUAGUGGGUUUGGUUGUGGAAUAAUAAUACAUUUUGGUGUUAGUUUGGUAUUUUACAUAUACAUAUCAUUGAUAUAAAUAAGCACUUAGGGUUCCACUGUAGUGUCUGUCUCUCCUCUUUCUCUACUCCAAAUCUGAGAAAGAAAACAUGGGCAAUGGAAGCCGAAUCAGCAGCUCAAAACAGCCAGCGAUCAAGAAUGUUAACAAUCGUCCCCCACCUGUUACUGUUAAAGUGUCAAAAAACAGGCACCCUGAAUGGGCUGAUAGCCCUCGAGCCAAGGACCCUUUAAGCCUCCUUUUGACUGAUGAUGUACCACCACACAGGGAGGAAAAUGAUGUUCCUCAGGUAGAACCAGAAGCAGCACCUGCAUCAACAUGAGUAAGAAGCUUAUGGUGUGUUACGUUUUCUAGGAGUUUGUGAGUUUCACUUUUAUCAUCAGUUUCAGAUUACAUUGAAUGGGGUUAUUUUGGUUUUUACAAGUACAUUUAGGUUUUCUUGAACCAAAUUUUAUCUGUUGUUCAGAUUAUUGAGAAAUUAUGUUCUCAGAUAUUUGGUCUUGGUAUAUAUCAUAGUACAUUAUCUUUUGAUCUAUGGAUGUGUCUUGAAUUACAUUUCGUUAUGCUUUAA